UAUCUACUGAAGAGAAAACCUGGGAGGAGAGUAGACAGGACUGUCUGAAGAGAGGAGCAGACCUGGUGAUAAUAAACAGCAGAGAGGAACAGGAGGUUCUCUUCAAUCUCAACAAGAGAGUCUGGAUUGGUCUGACUGACAGAGAGACAGAGGGGACCUGGAAAUGGGUGGAUGGAACAACACUGACCACAGAGUACUGGUAUGACCAACAGCCUGAUAACAAAGGUCCUACUGGGGAGGAGGACUGUGUUGAGAUACACAAACAUCAGCGUCCUCUGAAGGCAUGGAAUGACUUGUCAUGUGGCAGCAAACUCAACUGGAUUUGUGAGAAAGUGGUUGAAUAUCACCAUGACAACAUACUGUAAUACAAAGUGGACACAUCUCCAUCUCUCUCUCUCUCUCUCUC